GGAGUUUGGGCCGUGUCUCAGUCCCAAUGUGGCCGUUCUACCUCUCAGUACGGCUACUGAUCGUUGCCUUGGUGAGCCCUUACCUCGCCAACUAGCUAAUCAGACGCGGGCCCAUCCUGUACCUAUAAAUAUUUGACCGGUCUAUCAUGCGGUAGUCCGAUGUUAUGCGGUGUUAGCAGUCAUUUCUAACUGUUAUCCCCCUGUACAGGGUAGGUUACCCACGCGUUACUCACCCGUCCGCCACUAAGCUGAUAAAAGCAAGCUUCUCAUCAGCUCCGUUCGACUUGCAUGUGUUAAGCACGCCGCCAGCGUUCAUC
rnacentral:rRNA from 1 species